UCCGCGUACUCUAGAUUUCUCUUUCCACUUCUACAGCAAUCGAGAACAACAGGAAUCAGUAAAAAAACGACGCUUCCCCUUCCGCAUCUCAGUUCCCAAACCAGCGAAAAUCACCAUCACCCCUUCCACUUCCGGAUUGCAACAAAAAAAUCAUCCUACCUCAGCCAACGUCGACCAGGGCGUUGUCGAUCUCGCUGCUUCUUCCUAGUACACUACAUUGACAUGAAACAGGAGGGUGAAAAAAGGAAGAUUCUAGAUCAAGAGUAGCUAUAUAUUGACAAUGAUACCAAUGCAGGGUGAGCUUACUACAAUAUGUGAUCUUCGUCUAUCAACAACAAAUGCUGUUUUACAUGUAAGAGUAUCAAGGAUGUGGGAAUUCAGAGAGGGAGGAAAUGAAAAAGGGAAUAUAAAGCAUCUUGACUUGGUUCUCAUUGACCAGAAGGUAUUUCCAUCAUCAGUACAAGUACUAAUACAAACCAAAAAUAUGUAUAUGUAUAUUUUAACAUUCCUAAUCUAUGUCACAAAAAUUUCUACAUGUAGGGUGAUGCAAUCUAUACUGAAAUACCACCAGAUGUAAUACCAAUUUUAAA